AUGUGCCUGGCUCCCUGUAUGCCAUUUUCAGAGUUUAUUGGUAUUUUCAUGGCCUCCGUGGAUGGCGUAUGAGGAGCCAAGCAUAC